GUGGUAUCUGGCACCAAUGCAUUAGCAGCAGAUCCUUUAAAUCCUGCAAGUUGCAAGGUGGGGCCUCCAAGGAUCGGAUUUGUUGUUCCAGUAUGUCCCACAGAUGCUCAAUUGACUUGAGAAUUCGGGAGUUUUGGAGGCCAAGGCAACACCUUGAACCUAAAACCAUUCCUGAACAUUUUGCAGUGUGGCAGGGUGCAUUACUACCAUCAGGGAACAGCAUUGCUAUGAAGGGGUGUACGUGGUCUGCUACAAUCUCUAGGUACAUGGUCCAAGUAACACCCAUGUGAAUGCCAGGACACAUGGUAUCCCAGCAUAAUAUUGGCCAGAGCAUAAAACUGCCUCUGUUGGCCUGCCCCUUGAUCU